GUGGGAGCUUGCUCCUACUGGAUUAGUGGCGAACGGGUGAGUAACACGUGAGCAAUCUGCCCCUGACUCUGGGAUAAGCGUUGGAAACGACGUCUAAUACCGGAUACGAGCUGGGACCGCAUGGUCACCAGCUGGAAAGAACUUUGGUCAGGGAUGAGCUCGCGGCCUAUCAGCUUGUUGGUGAGGUAAUGGCUCACCAAGGCGACGACGGGUAGCCGGCCUGAGAGGGUGACCGGCCACACUGGGACUGAGACACGGCCCAGACUCCUACGGGAGGCAGCAGUGGGGAAUAUUGCACAAUGGGCGCAAGCCUGAUGCAGCAACGCCGCGUGAGGGACGAAGGCCUUCGGGUUGUAAACCUCUUUUAGCAGGGAAGAAGCGAAAGUGACGGUACCUGCAGAAAAAGCGCCGGCUAACUACGUGCCAGCAGCCGCGGUAAUACGUAGGGCGCAAGCGUUGUCCGGAAUUAUUGGGCGUAAAGAGCUCGUAGGCGGUUUGUCGCGUCUGCUGUGAAAAUCCGAGGCUCAACCUCGGACCUGCAGUGGGUACGGGCAAACUA
rnacentral:rRNA from 1 species